UAAGGAAUAUUGGACAAUGGAGGCAACUCUGAUCCAGCCAUGCCGCGUGAAGGAAUAAGGCCCUAUGGGUUGUAAACUUCUUUUAGACGGGACAAAACCCCUUUACGUGUAAAGGGUUGAUGGUACUGUCAGAAUAAGCAUCGGCUAACUUCGUGCCAGCAGCCGCGGUAAUACGAAGGGUGCAAGCGUUAUCCGGAUUCACUGGGUUUAAAGGGUGCGUAGGUGGGUAUGUAAGUCAGUGGUGAAAUCCCCGAGCUUAACUUGGGAACUGCCAUUGAUACUAUAUAUCUUGAAUACCGUAGAGGUAAGCGGAAUAUGUCAUGUAGCGGUGAAAUGCUUAGAUAUGACAUGGAACACCAAUUGCGAAGGCAGCUUACUAUGCGGUGAUUGACACUGAGGCACGAAAGCGUGGGUAGCAAACA
rnacentral:rRNA from 1 species